GGUCAAGUUAUUAAGGGUGCAGGGCGGAUGCCUUGGCACUAGGAGCCGAUGAAGGACGUGAUAAGCUGCGAUAAGCUUCGGGGAGUUGCACGUAAACUUUGAUCCGAAGAUUUCCGAAUGAGGAAACUCACUUAGAGUAAUGUCUAAGUAUCAUUAAGUGAAUACAUAGCUUAAUGAGGGGAACUCAGGGAACUGAAACAUCUAAGUACCUGAAGGAAGAGAAAGAAAUUCGAUUCCGUAAGUAGCGGCGAGCGAACGCGGAUUAGCCCAAACCAAUAAAGUUUUCUUUAUUGGGGUUGCGGACAUAUCAUAACGAAGAGGUAUCGUAAUUGAAGAGGUUUGGAAAGACCCACCACAGAAGGUAAUAGUCCUGUAUGUUAAACGAGAAGACUUCAGAUAUGAUCCAGAGUACCACGGGACACGUGAAACCCUGUGGGAAGCAGGAGGGACCACCCUCCAAGGCUAAAUACUACCUAGUGACCGAUAGCGUAUAGUACCGUGAGGGAAAGGUGAAAAGAACCCCGGGAGGGGAGUGAAAUAGAACCUGAAACCCUGCACUUACAAGCUGUGGAAGCACAUUUCUUGUGUGACCGCGUACUUUUUGUAGAACGGGCCAACGAGUUACGUUAAGUAGCAAGGUUAAGCACUUAAGGUGUGGAGCCGUAGCGAAAGCGAGUUUUAACUGAGCGUUCAGUUACUUGACGUAGACCCGAAACCGGGCGACCUACCCAUGAGCAGGAUGAAGCGAAAGUAAAAUUUCGUGGAGGUCCGAACCCACGAGCGUUGAAAAGCUCGGGGAUGACUUGUGGGUAGCGGUGAAAUUCCAAUCGAGCCCGGAGAUAGCUGGUUCUCCCCGAAAUAGCUUUAGGGCUAGCCUCAAGGUGAGAGAUACGGAGGUAGAGCACUGAAUGUCCUAGGGGGGAUUGCACCUACCGAAGACUAUCAAACUCCGAAUGCCGUCAUCUUAUACUUGGGAGUCAGACUGUGGGUGAUAAGAUUCAUAGUCGAAAGGGCAACAGCCCAGAUCGUCAGCUAAGGUCCCUAAAUGUAAGUUAAGUGGUAAAGGAUGUGGGAUUGCACAGACAACCAGGAUGUUGGCUUAGAAGCAGCCACUCAUUCAAAGAGUGCGUAAUAGCUCACUGGUCGAGUGAUCCUGCGCCGAAGAUUUCCGGGGCUAAAACUUACUACCGAAGCUACGGCAUCAGUAAUGAUGGGUAGGGGAGCUUCCCAUACGGGUUGAAGCAUGACCGUAAGGACAUGUGGACAGUAUGGGAGUGAGAAUGUUGGCAUGAGUAGCGAGAUGUGGGUGAGAAUCCCACAGGCCGUAAACCCAAGGUUUCCAGGGGAAGGUUCGUCCGCCCUGGGUUAGUCGGGACCUAAGCUGAGGCCGAAAGGCGUAGGUGAUGGACAACAGGUUGAUAUUCCUGUACUACCGAUAACCGUUUGAGAGAAGGGAUGACACAGUAGGAUAAGCUAAGCACACUGUUGGUUAUGUGUGCCCAAGCAUUGAGGCAGUCAAAGUAGGCAAAUCCGCUUUGAUAAUGCUGGGAUGUGAUGGGGAGCGAAAUUUAGUAGCGAAGUAGCUGAUUUCACACUGUCAAGAAAAGUCUCUAUCGAGGUUAAAGGUACCCGUACCGCAAACCGACACAGGUGGGUGAGGAGAGUAUCCUAAGGCCAGCGAGAGAACUGUUGUUAAGGAACUCGGCAAAAUGACCCCGUAACUUAGGGAUAAGGGGUGCCACCAUCAGGUGGCCGCAGAGAAUAGGCCCAAGCGACUGUUUACCAAAAACAUAGGUUUCUGCUAAGUCGCAAGACGAUGUAUAGGAGCUGACGCCUGCCCGGUGCUGGAAGGUUAAGGGGAUCUGUUAGAGCAAUCGAAGCAGUGAACUUAAGCCCCAGUAAACGGCGGCCGUAACUAUAACGGUCCUAAGGUAGCGAAAUUCCUUGUCGGGUAAGUUCCGACCCGCACGAAAGGCGUAACGAUUUGGGCACUGUCUCAACAACAGACUCGGUGAAAUUGUAAUUCCGGUGAAGAUGCCGGAUACCUGCGACAGGACGGAAAGACCCCAUGGAGCUUUACUGUAGCUUGACAUUGGGUUUUGGUACUACAUGUACAGGAUAGGUGGGAGGCUUUGAAACCAGGACGCCAGUUUUGGCGGAGCCAUCCUUGGGAUACCACCCUUGUAGUACUGGGACUCUAACCAUAGGCCAUGAAUCUGGUCUUGGGACACUGUCAGGUGGGCAGUUUGACUGGGGCGGUCGCCUCCCAAAAGGUAACGGAGGCGCUCAAAGGUUCUCUCAGUACGGUCGGAAAUCGUACGUAGAGUGUAAAGGCAAAAGAGAGCUUGAUUGCAAGACAUACAGGUCGAGCAAGGAUGAAAAUCGGACUUAGUGAUCCGGUGGUUCUGCGUGGAAGGGCCAUCGCUCAACGGAUAAAAGCUACCCUGGGGAUAACAGGCUUAUCUCCCCCAAGAGUCCACAUCGACGGGGAGGUUUGGCACCUCGAUGUCGGCUCAUCACAUCCUGGGGCUGUAGUAGGUCCCAAGGGUUGGGCUGUUCGCCCAUUAAAGUGGUACGCGAGCUGGGUUCAGAACGUCGUGAGACAGUUCGGUCCCUAUCCGUCGCAGGCGUAGGAAAUUUGAGAAGACCUGUCCUUAGUACGAGAGGACCGGGAUGGACGUACCUCUGGUGUACCAGUUGUUCUGCCAAGGGCAUGGCUGGGUAGCUAUGUACGGAAUGGAUAAGCGCUGAAAGCAUCUAAGCGCGAAGCCAACUUCAAGAUAAGAUUUCCCACCGCAAGGGUAAGACCCCAGAAAGACUAUCUGGUUGAUAGGUCGAAGGUGUAAGUGCAGCAAUGUAUUUAGCUUAUCGAUACUAAUAGGUCGAGGACUUGACCAA
rnacentral:rRNA from 1 species